rnacentral:rRNA from 1 species
CCUACGGGGGGCAGCAGUGGGGAAUAUUGGACAAUGGGCGAAAGCCUGAUCCAGCCAUGCCGCGUGUGUGAAGAAGGCCUUCGGGUUGUAAAGCACUUUCAGUGGGGAAGAAAGCCUUGGGGCUAAUACCCUCGAGGAAGGACAUCACCCACAGAAGAAGCACCGGCUAACUCCGUGCCAGCAGCCGCGGUAAUACGGAGGGUGCGAGCGUUAAUCGGAAUUACUGGGCGUAAAGCGCGCGUAGGCGGUCUGAUAAGCCGGUUGUGAAAGCCCCGGGCUCAACCUGGGAACGGCAUCCGGUACUGUCAGGCUAGAGUGCAGGAGAGGAAGGUAGAAUUCCCGGUGUAGCGGUGAAAUGCGUAGAGAUCGGGAGGAAUACCAGUGGCGAAGGCGGCCUUCUGGACUGACACUGACGCUGAGGUGCGAAAGCGUGGGUAGCAAACAGGAUUAGAUACCCGAGUAGUC